CAGGCAGUUCUGCCGCACGUGCCAGAAGUCCUACAACCCUUACCGUGUGGAGGACAUCACCUGCCAGAGCUGCAAACAGACCAGAUGCACCUGCCCUGUGAAAAUGCGCCAUGUGGACCCUAAAAGGCCCCAUCGUCAAGAUCUCUGUGGGAGAUGCAAAGGCAAACGCCUCUCCUGUGAUAGUACAUUCAGUUUCAAAUACAUCAUUUGAGGAGAAUAUUUUUGUUUAAAGGCUUCUGAUCUAAAUUUGCAAAUAGAGCCAAGACUGGUUUUUUGUUUUUGAAAGAAUAUAUGAAAUGGUGAGGUGUAGCUAGAAAAACCUGCAAAUAAAGGUAUUCCAAAGCGCUCCUUAACUGUCAAGGCAGGAUGAUAUUUAACUUGUGAAAUGGCAGAUGUUAAAAACAACAUAUCAUUGUCUUGAAAAUGAGGUCUAUUGCCCAUGGAAGUACUACUUGUCUUGUGAGUGUUCAUGCUAACAAGGCCAACUACUUCCUAACAGCAGCUGAGCUUCUGGAAAGUCCUAAAGAAUUUAAAUUUUGCAGGCAGCCGUGCUUCUUUGGAUACCUACAGGGAGAUGUCUCUGAGGUCAGUUUUUAAGGUCUGGGCUUACUCAAAGCAACAGGUAUUGUGUGAGAACUAAAAUAUUCAACAGUGUCCUAGUAUAUAGCAUUACAUUUUAAGCUUUUCUAGAGUUGCUGCUUAUUGCAGAAACAGAUAAAUGGAAAGAUUUACCUGUUCCAAAAUUACUAGCUCUCAAGUAAGGGUCAUCCUUUUAAAAACUAAACAAAACUAACUCCUCAGUUGGUCUUCCUGCCUUGAUUAGGCUAGCUCUGAGGAUAAAAA